AACCCCUAUUGUUAGUUUGCCAUCAUUCAGUUUGGGCACUCUAGCGAGACUGCCGGUAAUAAACCGGAGGAAGUGGGGAUGACGUCAAAUCAUCAUGCCCCUUAUGACCUGGGCUACACACGUGCUACAAUGGUUGGUACAACGAGUUGCGAGUCGGUGACGGCGAGCUAAUCUCUUAAAGCCAAUCUCAGUUCGGAUUGUAGGCUGCAACUCGCCUACAUGAAGUCGGAAUCGCUAGUAAUCGCGGAUCAGCACGCCGCGGUCGAAUACGUUCCCGGGCCUU
rnacentral:rRNA from 1 species